rnacentral:piRNA from 1 species
AUGUCACUCAGUAAGUGCUAGCUAUUAUCAAU